UAACUCUUAGCGGUGGAUCACUUGGCUCGUGGAUCGAUGAAGAACGCAGCUAGCUGCGAUAAAUAGUGCGAAUUGCAGACGCAUUGAGCAUAAAGAUUUCGAACGCACAUUGCACCAUCGGGUUGAUUCCCGAUGGUACGUCUGGUUGAGGGUCAA
rnacentral:rRNA from 1 species